CAGACAAACCCACAUAGGACGCACUGUGGUGGCCGGGAAUGCAGGGCUGGGCUCCACUUGGAGGCCCUCAGCCUCCCACCAGGAGGCCUCCAUGGCAUCUGUCUGCGCAGAGGUCCAGUCUCUUUGGUCAUAAGCGGGAGAAGCCGCAAGCCUUGCUGGGCUGCUCGGGCUCUGUGAGCACUGACACUCACCGUGCCAACCUCCAGCACACAGGACACGCAGGGCUGCCCUCGGCACGGCAGUCACGCCAAGGCCCAUGAGGUGAAGAACUGGAGGCAGGAACUGCGGAAAAUGUACAAAAUCAAAAGGUUCAAACCAAACAACCUUAUGCUGGGUGGGGAGACCAGUGAGCACCACGACACUACUCAAGCCAGGCGAGCCAUCAGAGGAGCAGAGCCGCGAAUCCUGCACCUGCCUGCUUACGACCUGACAGGAAGGACAGGACCACAGGGCAGCGGUGAGGAGUGA
rnacentral:lncRNA from 1 species